UGUGAAAAAAUCAAAUCUCGGCUCAAAGAAAAAUCAUCAGGUAAUUCGUCACGACGUAGUCCAGAAUUGGACGUAGUGCUAAAAUCACCAUUUAUGCUAGCAGGUGUCCGACGACUCCGAUUCGACCAUCAAUCGGAAAGACACGCUCAACCCGCAUGGAAAACGGUGAAACGACGCUCACCAGUAUUCCAAAAGAACCCGUCCACACGCACUCGUUGUAGUGCUAGCCAACACUUCGAUUUGCAACCGAACGACGUUCAUCUAAGCCAGCAGAAACAAAUGCCAAAUUAACUUGGACAGAUCGGCAAACCGGUUGGAAAUUACCAGGCCGCGCAUCACGGAGACGAGAAAAUCGAAAGGCUCUCUACGGAGGUAAUUUCAACCAAAAAUUCCAA